rnacentral:tRNA from 1 species
AGAGUAGUAAUUUAAAACAAAAUAUUUAUUUUGCAUAUAAAAAAUAUACAGGCUAUCUACUUUG